ensembl:miRNA
UAUUAGGCUGGUGCAAAAGUAAUUGCGGUUUUUGCCAUUACUUUUAAUGGUAAAAACUGCAAUUACUUUUGCACCUACCUAGUAUUU